rnacentral:rRNA from 1 species
UACGGAGGAUCCAAGCGUUAUCCGGAUUUAUUGGGUUUAAAGGGUGCGUAGGCGGAUUGAUAAGUUAGAGGCGAAAUGUCCGAGCUCAACUCGGGAACUGCCUCUAAUACUGUUGAUCUAGAGAGUAGACGCGGUAGGCGGAAUGUAUGGUGUAGCGGUGAAAUGCUUAGAGAUCAUACAGAACACCGAUUGCGAAGGCAGCUUACCAAUCUAUAUCUGACGUUGAGGCACGAAAGCGUGGGGAGCAAACAGG